AGAGUUUGAUCCUGGCUCAGAUUGAACGCUGGCGGCAUGCCUUACACAUGCAAGUCGAACGGUAACAGGUCUUCGGACGCUGACGAGUGGCGAACGGGUGAGUAAUACAUCGGAACGUGCCCAGUCGUGGGGGAUAACUACUCGAAAGAGUAGCUAAUACCGCAUACGAUCUGAGGAUGAAAGCGGGGGACCUUCGGGCCUCGCGCGAUUGGAGCGGCCGAUGGCAGAUUAGGUAGUUGGUGGGAUAAAAGCUUACCAAGCCGACGAUCUGUAGCUGGUCUGAGAGGACGACCGGCCACACUGGGACUGAGACACGGCCCAGACUCCUACGGGAGGCAGCAGUGGGGAAUUUUGGACAAUGGGCGAAAGCCUGAUCCAGCAAUGCCGCGUGCAGGAUGAAGGCCUUCGGGUUGUAAACUGCUUUUGUACGGAACGAAAAAGCUUCUCCUAAUACGAGAGGCCCAUGACGGUACCGUAAGAAUAAGCACCGGCUAACUACGUGCCAGCAGCCGCGGUAAU
rnacentral:rRNA from 1 species